GACGCUGACCAUCGAAGGGCGUAGCCGCUUGAGUCUGGAAUCGGCAAGAGAGAUAAGACGAAAAUCAACUAGCCGAUUUCCUCAGUACGGAAACAACCGCGCAGUAGAAUGGACGUAUGAGAACCGCGCUCCGCAGAUUUUGAGUACCGGGAUCUCUACCUCCUGGACCCUGCGCUUCGGGGCCACUUUCUGGUGCAACUUGAGUUCCAGGACAAGCGCUCCGUAGUUUUUACGCUCCAGGUACGCUACCGGGUGAAACUAGACGUUCAUUCAACUCGAAUCUGAGACCAAAAACUUUUGACUCCAAGAUCGAAGAAAAAGUACAACCCGAGGUGGUUGUCGGUGGUUGUUCGAGGUGGUUGGCGAUUGUUG